rnacentral:rRNA from 1 species
AGAGUUUGAUCAUGGCUCAGGAUGAACGCUGGCGGCAUGCCUAAUACAUGUAAGUCGAACGAGAUGGGUAACCAUCUAGUGGCGAACGGGUGAGUAACAAAUAGAUAACUUGCUCUUAAGACGAGGAUAACAGUUGGAAACGACUGCUAAAACUGGAUAGGAUAUAGAUGCACAUGCAACUAUAUUUAAAAGUGCUUCACGGCACUACUUAAGAAGAGGUCUAUUUCGCAUUAGCUAGUUGGUGAGAUAAAAGCUCACCAAGGCGACGAUGCGUAGCUGUGCUGAGAGGCAGAACAGCCACACUGGGACUGAGACACGGCCCAGACUCCUACGGGAGGCAGCAGUAGGGAAUUUUCGGCAAUGGGGGGAACCCUGACCGAGCAAUGCCGCGUGAACUAUGAAGGUCUUCGGAUCGUAAGGUUCUGUUAUCGGGAAAGAAUAGUAUAACUAGGAAAUGAGUUAUGCAUGACGGUACCUGAUGAGAAAGCCCCGGCUAACUAUGUGCCAGCAGCCGCGGUAAUACAUGGGGGGCGAGCGUUAUCCGGAAUUAUUGGGCGUAAAGCGUGCGUAGGCGGUUUAUUAAGUCUGACGUGAAAUCCCACAGCUUAACUGUGGAGGGUCGUUGGAAACUGGUAGGCUUGAGUACAGUAGAGGUAAGUGGAAUUCCAAGUGGAGCGGUGGAAUGCGUAGAUAUUUGGAGGAACACCAGUGGCGAAGGCGGCUUACUGGGCUGGAACUGACGCUGAUGCACGAAAGCGUGGGGAGCAAACAGGAUUAGAUACCCUGGUAGUCCACGCCGUAAACGUUGAGCACUAAGUGUCGGGAAUAAUCUCGGCGCUGCAGUUAACACAAUAAGUGCUCCGCCUGGGGAGUACGGUCGCAAGACUGAAACUCAAAGGAAUUGACGG